UUUAAAAGGUGAGCAAAAAACUACCCAUUCAGCUCAUUUUUUUCUCCGACUUGAGAUGGCCUUCAAAUUUAUCAUGUGCUUGUUUUGCCAGAAUACAAGCAAAAAUGGAUCUCUAGCUGGAAUCUCAUCUAGGCUGAAAUUCGGAUGUCAUGGCUUCCACAGCCCAGAGCCAGCAUGGCCCGCUGACGUGGCUGUCGGAGUCGGGCUCCGUGCUGACCCAGCAGUGUGCAGCCUGGUCCUGAGAGAUGAACGCUUCCAGAGUGCGUAGCGUGAAAUUCUCCUGAUGUGCGACACCCAGGAAGAGUAAGGUAGCCCAAGAAAAAAAGCACUGUGAAAUACAUGUAAGAAAAUUUAGCCUCUCUAUUUCUGAGGAUCUGAGCAAAAGAUUAAAGGAAGAAAAGUUGAUAGCAAGUAGGCUUCAUCUUAAAAAUGAUGUUGCCUCUUUAAAAAGGGAAAUACAUCCUAGGGUUCCUAGCACAUUUCUGCUACUGGCAGAAAAUCCUACCUAUAAUUAGGUACAAACACAAAAAAAGGAUAUUUUUCCCCCAAUGGAUAAAAAAUACUCUGUCCUUGUGCCUUAUUAAUCAGUUCCACAGAUCUAUCAAGGACGUCAAUGUAUUUUAUUCCCCUCUCCUAAGAAAAGGAAGGCAUUAAUCUUGUCAUAAUUGCCAACCAAUCAGUGAUAAAACUGUGAUUUCCAUUCCCGGUGUCCUGAUUCCUGAGAAAAGGUAGCAACCUAGUCAUUUGAGUCUUCCAGGAUCUUCCUAAAAACAAAAAAUAUUAGUUGUUCUAAACAGCAAUAUAAUUUUAUGAUUAUUUUUUAAUCUUUUAGUGGCAAAUAAUUUUACUAUGUAAAACUGAUGUAUUACAUUUCAGCAAGGUCAGACAUGCAGUUACUGUGGCAAUUAAUGUUGGAUAUUCAUUGUUAAACUCCCUGAGGACGGCAGUGUGACUUCUGUAACAUGAAUACCAAUGUGUAAUUGCUAUUUUUCAUUUCUCCAAAGGGCUUCUUUUGUUAUCCAUAUGGCUGAAGUGAAAUAAGGUGCCUGGAGAGACAGGCAUAUAUUGACCGAAAAAAAAAAAAAUAAUAAGGGGGCAGAAUGUAGGUCUGGGAUACUGAGACACACAGAAAUAAUUUAGUAAACUGCAGAUUUGAAAGGA